AGAGUCACCAGCCAACAAACAGGCAUUAAAUUCACCAUCCUAAGGAAAUUAUUCAUACUCAAAACAUAACAGCCAAAAGUCAUGCACUUGAAGACUUCUGUCUCUACUCCUCUAUUCUACGGAUAAAGUGAAACCAUAACUUUCAGGAAAAGAAAACAUGAGCCUGACAAGAUCUUCCUGGCUGUUGACCUGCGCAGCUGGAGAAAUCACUAUUGCAGCACAGCUGGACCUGUGGGUUGUGAGAGCUGUGGCUUCGACUUUUACAGAAAAGAUUCUGCUGAAGAGAAUGAGAAGGAAGAGCAUACAUGGCCGAGAACCUGCAGGGUAUAAAAGACCCCAGCACCCAGAUGGAAAGGUGGAGCCCACCCUCUCCCAAAAUACUUCAUUUCUCCAAAAAACCGGAGCAUGUUGUACUCUGAGAGGCUCUACCCAGCAGCUGACUCAGACAGAUGCAGACACCCACAUCCAAACAGUGGAUGCAGCUUGUGGACUCUUAUGAAAGAAUAAUUGGAGGGAUUGUGAGACUGAAGAGGAUGGGACUCCACAGAAACACCAACAGAGUCAACUAACCUGGACCCUUGGGGCUCUGUGUCUGAACCACCAGCCAAAGAACAUACACUGACUGGACCUAGGCCUCCUUGCACAUAGGUAGCAAAUGUGCUGCUUGGUCUUCAUGUGGAUCCUAAACAAGUGGAGCAGGGCCUAUCCCCAAAGCUGUUGCCCAUAUAUGGGAUAAGUCCUUUAGCUGGGCUACCUUGUCUGGCCUCAGUGGAAGAGGAAGUGUUUAGCCUAGCAGAGAUUUGAAAUGCCAAGGUUGGGGGAUACUGAGGGGCCACACCCUCUCAGAGGAGAAGGCAAG
ensembl:lncRNA